rnacentral:rRNA from 1 species
AUUGAACGCUGGCGGCAUGCUUUACACAUGCAAGUCGAACGGUAACAGGCCUUCGGGUGCUGACGAGUGGCGAACGGGUGAGUAAUGCAUCGGAACGUGCCCAGAGGUGGGGGAUAACGCAGCGAAAGCUGUGCUAAUACCGCAUGUGAUCUGAGGAUGAAAGCGGGGGACCAGGCAGCAAUGUUUGGCCUCGCGCCUUUGGAGCGGCCGAUGUCAGAUUAGGUAGUUGGUGGGGUAAAGGCCUACCAAGCCGACGAUCUGUAGCUGGUCUGAGAGGACGACCAGCCACACUGGGGCUGAGACACGGCCCAGACUCCUACGGGAGGCAGCAGUGGGGAAUUUUGGACAAUGGGCGCAAGCCUGAUCCAGCAAUGCCGCGUGCGGGAAGAAGGCCUUCGGGUUGUAAACCGCUUUUGUACGGAACGAAAAGGCUCUGGCUAAUACCUGGGGCUGAUGACGGUACCGUAAGAAUAAGCACCGGCUAACUACGUG